GGCCAUAUAGCUCAGUGGCAGAGCAUCUCUCUUGCAAACAGAUGGUCCCCACGUUCAAAACCCUGGUAGGUUG